AUAGAGACUCAGAGCUGCAUAUCAAUAAGCGGAGGAAAAGAAACUAACUAGGAUUCCCUUCAGUAACGGCGAGUGAAGCGGGAAGAGCUCAAAUUUGAAAUCUUCAAGGUUCUACCUUGACGAAUUGUAGUUUAAAGAAGUGUUUUCUGUUGAAGUUUUGGUAAAAGUUCUUUGGAAUAGGACAUCAUAGAGGGUGAGAAUCCCGUAUUUGAUCCACUUUCUUACUAACUGUUGUGAUACACUUUCAAAGAGUCGGAUUGUUUGGGAAUGCAGUCCAAAAUGGGUGGUAAAUUUCAUCCUAAAGCUAAAUAUUGGCGAGAGACCGAUAGCGAACAAGUACCGUGAGGGAAAGAUGAAAAGAACUUUGAAAAGAGAGUUAAACAGUACGUGAAAUUGUCGAAAGGGAAGCGUUUGACACCAGUGUUGUUUUCUCGAAAAUCAAUUAAAAAUGACCGGAUUUUGUGUUGUAUUGACUUUAUCAGCUUUCUGCACUUUUUUCUUGUCUUUUUUAAUGCACUUUUUCGUUUAACAAGUCAACAUCAAUUUCUUUUGUUGUAAAAGAGUCAUUGGAAGGUGGCUUUCACUUCGGUGAAAGUGUUUAUAGCCUUUGGACUUCUGCAAUCGGAGAGAUUGAGGUCUGCAGCGUAGAUCCUUCGGGGUUAGAUACAUUUGUGCUAAGUUUAUAGCUUUUCAUAGACAACUAUGUUGACUAUGAUUAAGUCAUGUAGCUUACUCGCUUAUGCUAUUUUACCUACGCUUAGGAUGUUGAAGAUAUGCGCGACACG
rnacentral:rRNA from 1 species